rnacentral:rRNA from 1 species
CUACGGGAUGCUCCAGUGGGGAAUAUUGCACAAUGGGCGCAAGCCUGAUGCAGCCAUGCCGCGUGUAUGAAGAAGGCCUUCGGGUUGUAAAGUACUUUCAGCGGGGAGGAAGGGAGUAAAGUUAAUACCUUUGCUCAUUGACGUUACCCGCAGAAGAAGCACCGGCUAACUCCGUGCCAGCAGCCGCGGUAAUACGGAGGGUGCAAGCGUUAAUCGGAAUUACUGGGCGUAAAGCGCACGCAGGCGGGUUGUUAAGUCAGAUGUGAAAUCCCCGGGCUCAACCUGGGAACUGCAUCUGAUACUGGCAAGCUUGAGUCUCGUAGAGGGGGGUAGAAUUCCAGGUGUAGCGGUGAAAUGCGUAGAGAUCUGGAGGAAUACCGGUGGCGAAGGCGGCCCCCUGGACGAAGACUGACGCUCAGGUGCGAAAGCGUGGGGAGCAAACAGGAUUAGAUACCCCAGUAGUC